rfam:Dipodomys ordii contig_91122, whole genome shotgun sequence.
UGGCUCAGUGGUAGAGCGCUUGCCUUGCAUGCCAGAGGCCCUGGGUUCGAUUCCUCAG